rnacentral:pre_miRNA from 1 species
CUUUUACUCCCUCCGUCCCAAAAUAAGUGACUCAAGUUUGUACUAACUUUGUACUAAAGUUAGUACAAAGUUGAGUCACUUAUUUUGGAACGGAGGGAGUAUUUU